rnacentral:tRNA from 1 species
AAAGAGAUGACAGAAAAAAUGUAUCUGGCUUGAAACCAGAAGAUGGAAGUUUAAAUCCUCCUCUCUUUU